UAAGCGGAGGAAAAGAAACUAACAAGGAUUCCCCUAGUAACUGCGAGUGAAGCGGGAAAAGCUCAAAUUUAAAAUCUGGUAGUCUUUGGCUGCCCGAGUUGUAAUCUAGAGAAGCGUUAUCCGCGCUGGACCGUGUAUAAGUCUCCUGGAAUGGAGCGUCAUAGAGGGUGAGAAUCCCGUCUUUGACACGGACUACCAGGGCUUUGUGAUGCGCUCUCAAAGAGUCGAGUUGUUUGGGAAUGCAGCUCUAAAUGGGUGGUAAAUUCCAUCUAAAGCUAAAUAUUGGCGAGAGACCGAUAGCGAACAAGUACCGUGAGGGAAAGAUGAAAAGAACUUUGGAAAGAGAGUUAAACAGUACGUGAAAUUGUUGAAAGGGAAACGCUUGAAGUCAGUCGCGUUGGCCAGGGAUCAACCUUGCUCUUUGCUUGGCGUACUUCCUGGUUAACGGGUCAGCAUCAAUUUUGACCAGUGGAAAAAGAUCAAGGGAAUGUGGCAUCUUCGGAUGUGUUAUAGCCUUUGGUCGUAUACAUUGGUUGGGAUUGAGGAACUCAGCACGCCGCAAGGCCGGGGAUAUACCCACGUUCGUGCUUAGGAUGCUGGCAUAAUGGCUUUAAUCGACCCGUCUUGA
rnacentral:rRNA from 1 species